rnacentral:rRNA from 1 species
GGGGUAAGUCCGCACGAGGCGCACCCUUAUCCUUUGUUGCCAGCACGUAAUGGUGGGAACUCAAAGGAGACUGCCGGUGAUAAACCGGAGGAAGGUGGGGAUGACGUCAAGUCAUCAUGGCCCUUACGAGUAGGGCUACACACGUGCUACAAUGGCAGAUACAAAGAGAAGCGACCUCGCGAGAGCAAGCGGAACUCAUAAAGUCUGUCGUAGUCCGGAUUGGAGUCUGCAACUCGACUCCAUGAAGUCGGAAUCGCUAGUAAUCGUAGAUCAGAAUGCUACGGUGAAUACGUUCCCGGGCCUUGUACACACCGCCCGUAA